CUGCUUAGUCUGUCUUGUAUCAUUGCUCUGGUCGCUGCUGCCGAUCGCCGUUGCGUCUGCCUUGCCCCGAAGGGAACGAGAAAACCGGUGAGCCUCGGCAAAAAGGCACAAAAUUGGACGAUGUGUGUGUGUGUCGCCACACACACACACACACACACAACAUACCUCAUUUUUAUUCCCCCCCCUCCACCUCCUCCCAGCGCCCUCUCCCAAUUUUCUUGAUUGUGCGCCAUUCACAAGCACGAGCUUGUGAGGGCAUCUUUACCCCACUGGAAGGUCGCGAACAACGAAAAGUCGUAAUAGUUCCUCGUGGGGUGUGUGCUAGUGCAAUCAGGCAACUGCCGUCGUUCUGGCUGAAGUCGUUUCGCUACUCUCACCGUCGCUGUCUCUCUUUCUGUAUGUUUGUCUUUUCUUAGUUUGCACCCCUCCUCGCUUGUUCGGCUUUGGUGCUUUUUUUUGUUUGUUUUCGUCUGUGCUUUCGCUGCCGCUUCAUCGCAGUGCGGGGACGCUGUUGCUGUCUUGUGUCUGUCUGUCUGUGUCUGUGUCUCUGUGUGUGUGUGCGUUGGUGCCUCUCUCUUGUUCACGUUUGUUUCUCUUUCGUUUGCGGCUUCGUAUCUGGCGUGGUAGCUUCUCUCCUCUGCUCUCUUUUCUCCCCUAUCGCUCAUCCAUCCAGCGUGUCCUCUGCCUUUUUUUUUCCGCCUCCCCGCUUUUUGUUGUGUACUCCUCUAUCUGACCACCUCUCCCUCCCCGUCUCGUCUCUUUCUCGUCGUCACGCACACAUCUUUGUGCUCGUUUUCCCCCCUUCUCUUUCGCUUUAGCGGCUUGUUUUCUCCUUGUUUCGUAUUGCCACAAUUCUGCCUCUUCAAUUUUUUGAGGUUUUCAUUUCUGUCUUGUUUUUGUGGGUGUGCGUGCUUGUGCAUCUCACUACAUCUCACUAUCGCUAAUUCUCUCUCGACUCGCUACCUCAUCCUUUAGUCUCACUCGAUCAAACACGCACACCCGAAGUUGUGUUCUGCUUCUUUGGCGCUUCUCAUCCUUCUCUGUUUUGUUUUCCCCCCUUCCCCGCGCUCUGUGGUCGCAUCUUUUGCGCUGCGUGGCUUUUGCAUUGCACGCGCUCCCUCCCCCACCUCUUUCUGUGCCCUCUCUUCCCCUUCCUCUCGCUUUCCUCCCUCGCUGCUGCCUCAUCGUUUUCUCCCCCGCUGUCUUGCCGUCGGCGUCGCGUUCUCCUCCUCCUUUUCAGUUUGAUUGUGCACACUUGCCGACUCUUCGUUGUCGUUUCUGGAUAUCUCAGCUCGGUCUCUUUCACCCCCCGGGCUGCCCAUCUGUUAGCGCAUUUUUCUCUCUUUGCUUCCCUUUUGCCGUUUUUCUUUUUCUUGUCGUGCAGACAAACACAGAGACACAGCGAUAUUCCUUUCGAUUUGCGUGCAGCCCAUAGAGUAGUACUCCUCGUUUUUCCAGCCUUCGUGUCCUUCCGGCGGAUACCUCUCGAAAGCACAUUCCCACGCUAAGUUUGCUGUCCCUAUCUUGCUUUUCUUUGUGCUUGCGGCUUCCCCAUUGAUUGCUCAUAGUGCGGCUUUCAUGGAUUUAGCUCACUUUUUGAGUGCGUGUUUCUGAGGGCCGGGCUUGCUCAGCUUUCGACCUUUCUUUCUUGUCUUUUUACAUUCUCAGGUUUUACUUCGCCGUGCGUUUGUACGACCGGAGCUUCGACCUUUUCUCGCCACAUAUCCCUUUUCACCAUCCCUCUCCCCUCGUUAUCGAAGUGAAUCGAAUGCCCAGCAUGUCCACUGCGGAGGAUAGCGGGCACUGGAUGGCAACGGUGAUGCCCCCGCGGAGUGCAGGUAAACCGCCCCUUCUGCAGCACAGCAACGGCAAGGAGUCGCCGCGGCCGGCGAGGGCGCUGGUGGAAGCACCGGAGUGUUUUGCAAAUGGGCAGUAUUUUGGUCUGCCGUGUACUCUGGGUAACGAGGAUAACGAUGCCCGCUCUAACAGCGCCGUAAGCAGCUGCAGCGGCGACAAAUCUGAGGAACUGCGGUGCCGCGCACAGCGCAAUCGCAGGUGGAAAACAUCGUCGAGUAGCGAUACGGCGGCACGCGACGAGGACGCCGCAUGCCCGGCAGCCGUCUCUUCCGUCUCCUCUUACUACUUCAGCGGACAUAACAUGCUGACGGAGGUCGCCCAUGGGUGCACGGGGGAGCAGAGGUUCAUGGAAAAUCGCGAUGGCAUGAGCACGUUUCAUUCGUCCAGUAGCCCAGCGAGCGAGCGAGCUGGCGACGCGUCGGAGCAGUCUUCUCGGCCGCUCGCUUUGCUGGGAGCCACCUCUCCAUCUGUGGUGCAACCGGCGACGAGGAUAGCGCGGGUCCGUGCAGCAGCGGUGGCGGCCUCUUCGCGGGCAAUGCCGUCGACCGAGCUCGAUGACCCCUAUCACGUUCUCUCCAUGCCCACUGCGGGGACCCUGUACUUGAGCUCGCGCACUGGAAGCGACCGAGACAGCGUCGACGGCGAAAGUCGUUUCACUGCGCGGGCAUCACAGCAAGACAUGUACUACAUGUACACCUCAACCCUUACGAUGUCUACAGACGCGCCUGCCAGCCCCUCUAAGCGUCAGCAGCGAGACGGCGCCGCUCCACGUGGCGGGUCCGCUUCCGUCGCCUCGUCCUGCGAUCGGGUGUGUGUGCCGGGGAUCUGGGAGUACGACGAGUGGAUGUUGACGGCGCGGCCAGCGACGAUGGAGACUCUCAGUGGGCAUUCGUCCGGCACUAAGGCGCUGGCCACUGACUACGAGCGUCGCGCUGCGCAGUUUCCAAGUCCUGCGGCCAUUGACGUCACAAUGGGGCCGUCGAGUCAGCCCUCGCCGACCAUGGCGGUCUGUUCGCCACGCACGGCAACCCCCACGACAGUGUCGAAUGAACUUCCAGCAGGCACAGAUCUCACCGCUAAGGCGCACAGUGUCCCCUCUGCCCGAGGUUCGCAGCUGCCGCGCGGCGCCGCCGAUAGCGAUGCGUCCCCGAAGACGAAGGAGCGGCCGCCAGCGUCGGGGUGCAAAAGCGCUGCCGCGACAGUACCACCGCCACCUUUGGGCACCUUCGCCACCCCCGACGUGUGUAUCGCCUUGAAGGACUUCACGACUGGCAUGAGGAGCCCGACAAGGAAUGUCGUGAAUGACAGCACCGCUGUCGAUGGCGCUGUCCACCAGCCGGUUGAGUUGCGGUCGCACCGCUGCUCCACUGGUUUCGCGGACAGCGGGGCACCGUUUUCUGAUGCCUCAUCGUCGUUGCUGGCAGCAGGGAAGGCUCCCCAGCAGCCACCGCCGCGUCCUUCUUACGCGAACGACGCCGCGAAUUCUGGAGAGAGCAAAAUGCACACGGUCACCUCUUCCAUCUCGAAUGGCUUCCUGGGCGGACACCGGCCAGCCUUCGUGACAACGGCAUCUUUGAACACGUGCCCCGCGGCCCUGGUACCCGAUCACGCCCCUCUCCUGGCCUUCGGUGUGCAUCCUAUUCGCAAGGACGUCGAUUCACGGUCGUGCGUGCCCUCUCCUGCCGCCUCCACUGCUUCCACGGCGAUGCCGCUGCUGCUGUCGCCUCAGGCCCUAGCGACCGCAGGGCAGCCUACUUCGAAGGCGUGGCCCGCACGACCGCCAGAAGUCCCACGCGCGCCCGCCCGAGACAGCGAGAGCGGGAGCCCGGCGCUCGCGCCGUCGCCGGACAACACCGCCACAGAGUGCCCGCCAGACGUGUCGCGUCGGGCCGGAAGCCACAGCACAGCUACCACAGUGGCCGGCGCAACCUCCAGUACCGCCAGCACGCUCUCUGGUGGCCUCAUCCCGAGCUCCUCUCCAAUGAACACCUGCGCACAAUCCAGCGACCUGAAGCCACACUCUAUUGGCCCCCAGACGCUUUCCGACUCCAACGGCGACACCCUGCUGUUUCUCAGCGGCGGGGUGAGGAAGCCGACCCCCCCAUCGCCGAGAGCGCCCGCGGCUCGUGAGACGAGCACGUCCGCUGCCGGUGGGCAGAGCAGGCCUGACGUGCACGUCGCAACCUCGAAAGUCACCGCCGCGACACCGACUGCCUCGGCUUCCAUGACAUCCACCCCCGCGAUGAGUCCCCUCGCCUCCUCGCGCGGCCUCUCCGACGAAGGGGUCACUUCCUACGCUACCGAAGCCAUGUGUCGCCCUGCAUCCCAAGCAAGCAAGCCCGCCCCGCAUCAACUACCAAAGGAGCCUCCGCAGGGCUUUCGUGUGGAGGGCCAGACGUCGAGGCCGGUCAAUCCCAUGAUAAUCACCCUUUCUUCACGGCCUGGUGCGCAGCGGAAGGCGACACGACCGCAAGAGGAAGCGCACGGCGACGGGGCUGUUGCAUCCCGGGACAGCAGAAAGGACGCGGCUUUUCCGACUCGCUCGCCAUGUGACUGGCGGCGGCGCCUGGGCUUCAAGCAGAACAGGGAGAUUGUUUUACCCGACUCCAAGUCGCUGCGGGUGUCCAUGUCGUCGUUGCUCGAGUUUCGCAGCCUGACCAUGCGCGAACAAGGCAAGGAGAUGAUGCCGUCGACUGAGGAAGUAUCCACACACCUCAUGACGCGCUGGAACGCGGUGUGUGCGCUGGUUGUCGUCGACGAGGACGCGGUGCGGAAGCCGUGUCUCGUCGUGAGUGGACUCAGCGUGCGUGUGUACGAGGAAGACAAGUCAGUGACGCUGGCGAACAGCAGAAUGGCUCAUGGCAUGAUGCGGGCACUGAAGGGGCGCGGCGGUAUGACUCGUUCUCGUUUUUUGCGCGGUGCCAGCUACGACGGCGACGAGGAGUCAGACGACAGUGAUGCCUUGGUGAUUGGUAUUCGUGGCGGCGUUGGCUUGAGCAAUCGAGCCACGAGCAGCGGCGGUGGCGGGCUGCCGUCCAACCUGAAGUCCUUUGUUUUGCUGCCAGAUAAGAAGGUACGCCGGAGCCAGUCUGGCGAGGGCGAUUCAGCUGACCCCUGCACGGUCGAGUUUGACAACUACCUGCGCAAGUUUGACGUAGACGAGACGCUCAGCCGCCUCGCUGGCAGAAAGGAGUGUCACUCCGUGGCUCUGGACCAGCUGGUGCGGACCUGGGUGACGGGGCAUAACACCUGCCUACUCCUGGGCAACGGCAACGGCCGCAGCACGCAGUCGCUUGACGUGGCUGUGGGGGCGGUGGAGAGCGCCAUGGGCAUAUUGCGCGAGCGACUAAAUGACCCGGCCAGUCGUGUCGAACUGCACAUUUGCAUGGGCGAAGUCGCUGAUGACGAGGACAACGGUGGGGCGAUGGUGCUAGACCUGCUGGCAUCCUCCUCCUCCGACGACGAGGAUGACGACAGCGACGACGACGAGCAGGAGAAGGGUGCGAGGUGGCAGCGCAAGGAGGCACCGCCGGCCUCACAGAAGAGCGGCCCAACCCGCCCCCCAGUGCAGCUGGCGCGCAGUCCGCUCAUUGGCACCUUUGUGAAGGGGCUCCGCUCCGUAAAAAUCGACGACGCCACCACCGCCACGAGUGCGAUUGGCCGCGCCUUGACUCUGGGGUUUAUGCGGUUCAACAUGUCCGCCCAUUCCUCCCGGAACAACAGCAUGUCGAACCUGUCCAGUCUCAGCAGCGCCGCGCUCAGCAAGGUACGCAUCAGCUUCGCUACACUGCGGCUGAAGACUAUCUGCCGAGGUGCAGACAUGCGCAGCGCGCGGCUGAGCGCCUGCGAGAGCGCAACGAGCAAGAAGAAGUUUGGUGGCCAGGUGCGGCACAGCCGCUCCGUGGAGUACCGGGCCGACGUGCUUGUGUCCUCGCUUCUGCUUGUCUACUUCGGCACCGAGCACAUGGUGCUCGACACCCUCGUGCAGCGCAGCCAGGCGUACCGCGCGACAGCGCGCGAGGAAGAUGAAGGCAUCGUGCAUCCGAACGCACCGAUGCGGGAUCAGAAACCUGAUUUCCAUCCCGCCAGCUGGCCGAACGCAGUCGGGUUUCUUCAGUCACUUCUGUGUGACGCGCUGGGGGGUCGCACCCGCACGAUGGCGUGCCUCUGCUUGUCCGAGUACGACACGCGCGCCACACUCUGGCUCCGAGCGGUGAGCCGGGCGAGACGCAUCACAAACAUGACACCGAACUGCGGCAACGUGCGCAACUACCUGCUGUACCUCCUGGAGCAGUACGAAAACCUGGCAGCACUGCAAAACCGUCGAAAGCAGGAUGCGCGGCUGUUUCUACCGGCGCUGGGCACUCAAGCCAACUCUAAGCACCACAAGCGCGGCCGCCUCUCCGCUGUAUCUUCGGGCAAGGAGUUCGACCAAUGGUCGGUCUACUGCAUCAAGAAGAUGAUCGCUGAGCUCGACGCGUUCGUGGCCACCCCGACAGGCGACACGCCUUCGCUUGAGCGGCUGGAAAUCGCGAACGAGAUCAUUGCAACUACGCAGCCGGAUCCCCUUUUAAGUCAUCCCCUGGCCUUCUUUUCGAGGAACUCCUGAGAUGAAAGUGCAUCGCGCGACAUGGUGUUUGGCGUUUGUGCCCUGCCCGACUCUGCUGUGAGCGGAAACAGCAACGCAGCGAGCUGCAUCAGGAGCACACAAGUGUGUUUUUGUGUGUGUGUGUGUGUCUUCAUGUGCCCCACGGUAAGUGUGAGUCACAUGCCUCGAGGGCCCUUCAGAGGGAACAUGUCUGGCGCGCUUGCCUCCUCUCUCGUUUUACCAGCCGCUCCCUCUCUCCCUUUUGUUCGUCUGUUUCCUUUGUCCUUCGUAUUUUUCGGCACAG
rnacentral:misc_RNA from 1 species